GGCAGGGAACUGCAGAGCGUCUGCAAACCACAGACAGAGCUGAGCUGGAGAGCUCAGUCUCAAAUAGUAGGCGUGGGGUGCCGCUGUGGAAGUGGGGGCCCCGGCUUGUGAAGCAUUCUGAUCCAACUCAGCAAACGCCGGCACUUCUGAGACAUCUCAGCACGUGGAACGAAACCGUAGGGCCGGCAGAGGGAAGAGGCCACCCGGGCGGUCCUGCAGCUCACAGCCGAUCCCGGCCCGAGUGACCCCGGCAAGGCGCUUCCUGAUUAUUGGGUGGGAUUCUGCUGCCUCCUGCGUGGAUUCUCUCUUUGCAAAAUGGUUUUGACAACCUUGCUCAUGGGCCGCAAGCAGCUCAGGGUAAGACGUGCUGACUUGCCUUGGCAACACCAGAGGGGCACCCUUUUCAGGCUCUGCUGCCAUCCCAUGCCACAUUGGAACGCUUUUCCCUGUUCCUAGCAUUUCGGAGACUGUUCCCAGAAAACAACAGCAUAGCCCCGUGUCAUGUUAUAUUUAAUUGCAUGAUGUCAGUCUCCCUUCAAAGAAUGUCGAAAGGUCGUAUUAUAAAAUAACAAGCGUGAGGAAAUGACUGACUCAAGAAGCUUAACUGUCGUAAAUAUUCCUGCGACAUAAAUAAAUCAGCGAACCUCUGUUGAGCGUGCUGACCACGUGUAAUGCAGCAGUAACCUUGGAAAAAACUCGGAUUUACAAGAGCCCAGGCCUCACACACGGCAGCUGACAUGGCUGCGCAUCUGAAACCCGCUCAUCCCGGAGAAGCCAGGUCCCCGCACCAGAUGUCCGCGCUGCCGUUUCCGAAUUCAGCUCCGUGUGCGGACGCACGCUGUGCACUCUAUGCACGGUCUCCCAACACCUGCUUGGGGUUUGCGGCAGACGUCUGAACUCGCGCUGAAUUAAGCCGUGUCCCGUGUGUUUAGUGACAGGAGGUGGAUGACAGACACCCCAAACCGCCGGCUUCGCUGCUCCUCUCCCACGGGCGGCCGGGCCCGGCCUUGCGAUCUGCUGACUGCAGAAUGUGCAGCGUGCUGUCACGUGGGUCCCAGGGCAGAAGCCCCAGGGUGUGCCAUGUGUCCUUGUCCUCUUGGCCCUGAGGCCACCGUGUCGUGAAGAAGCCUGGGAGGAAAGCACCAGGCCGGCGAGGGCUGCUUCUCAGGGUGCUGCCAGCCCCCCCGGCAGAGAGCUGGCCACCCCGGGGAGCCGGGGCGACUGCAGGAGAGCCGGCCACCCCGAGUCGUGGGAAAUGACCCACUGUUGCCUCCCGCCGCUGGGCACCGGGCUGGCUUGUCAUGGAGCAAUAAAUAGCUGAACAUCUGUAGAUUUUUUUCUCCUUGUUUCUGCACGAUCUUUAUAGUUUUCAUUAUGAAUGGCUAAAUAAUACACCAUCCUGUUGUUUUACCAAAACAUACCAUGAACUAAAAUAUAAUAAAAUCCUAAGUUCUCCCCACCAAAGAAAACCUUGUAGCUGAGCUGUGGGCCAUGAGGAUCAGGGAGUUCAGACACGCCUAGCUAUGACCUGUCCCUUUGGAGUUAUUCUUUGUAACAAUAAGAUGCAAAAUCAUUAACAGGUCUAAGGCCACACAAGACCACGGUGAAACCGCACCUGCAGGCCACCAAUUUACUUAACAGAUCACGUGAGUCUCUGUUCACGUCCUGCGGCUCGCCUCUGAUUCCUGGACUUCCUUAUAACAUUCCAGGCCUUUAGACAAAGCUCCAUGUCUUUGACCAAUUACAAGUCAAAGAAUCUGUAAACCCACCUAUAACCUGCACGUCCCCACUUUGAGAUGUCCCACCUUUUCGGGCCAAACCCCUGAAUUCCCUCCGCAUACUGACUCGGGACCUCACCUGUAAUUCCCGUCUCCGUGAGAGCAUAAAACCCAACCAACACGGCCACGGCGGCACAUUUUCUCGGGACCUCUUGAGGCCACGUGCUCUGGGCCCGUCACACACAUUUGGGUCAGAAUAAGCCUCUUGAAAUAGACCAUCCUCCAGAAACUGAGCUAGGUGAACAGUUCUUAAACAUCACACCAGGAGCACAGUCACGAUUCCUCAAAGAAAGAAUAUAUAGAAAUUAGACCUCGCCAA